UACGAAGGGGGCUAGCGUUGUUCGGAAUUACUGGGCGUAAAGCGCACGUAGGCGGGUUGUUAAGUCAGGGGGUGAAAUCCUGGAGCUCAACUCCAGAACUGCCUUUGAUACUGGCAACCUAGAGACUGGAAGAGGUUAGUGGAAUUCCCAGUGUAGAGGUGAAAUUCGUAGAUAUUGGGAAGAACACCAGUGGCGAAGGCGGCUAACUGGUCCAGCACUGACGCUGAGGUGCGAAAGCGUGGGGAGCAAACAGG
rnacentral:rRNA from 1 species